rnacentral:rRNA from 1 species
AUACGGGGGAUGCAAGCGUUAUUCGGAAUCAUUGGGCGUAAAGGGCACGCAGGCGGUUCUGUCAGUCAGAUGUGACAGCCCGGGGCUUAACCCCGGACGUGCAUUUGAAACAGCAGGACUUGAGUAUGGUAGAGGAAAGCGGAAUUCCUGGUGUAGAGGUGAAAUUCGUAGAUAUCAGGAGGAACACCGGUGGCGAAGGCGGCUUUCUGGACCAAAACUGACGCUGAGGUGCGAAGGCGUGGGUAGCGAACAGGAUUAGAUACCCCAGUAGUCC